AUGAACCAGCAGCAGCAGCAGCAGAAAGCGGGCAAGCAGCAGAUGAGCGAGCCCAAGAACAUGGAGAUGGAAGCUGGAGAUACAGACGACCCAUCAAGAAUUACCCAGAACACUGUGAUCAAUGGGAACGCGGCCCCGAGUGAUGGACAUAGCAACGCAGAGGAGGACAAGGAGGAUGAAACCAGUGAGCGCUCCAAGGAGACCUUUCGGUUCACUGUGGAGCGCUUCAGCAGACUGAGUGAGUCGGUCCUUAGUCCUCCGUGUUUUGUGCGAAAUCUGCCAUGGAAGAUUAUGGUGUGCCACACUUUUAUCCAGAGAGACCGCACCAAAAAAGUGUAGCAUUCUUUCUCCAGAGCAAUGCUGAAUCUGACUCCACGUCACGGACUUGUCAUACACAAGCAGUGCUGAAGAUAAUAAAUUACGGAGAUGAUGAAAAAUCGUUCAGUCGUCGUAUUAGUCAUUUGUUCUUCCAUAAAUAAAACGAUUGGGGAUUUUCCAAUUUUAUGGCCUAGAGUGAAGUGACUGAUCCUAAGAAAGGAUUUAUGAUGACAAAGUUACCAUUGAAGUCUUUGUACAGGUGGAUGCUCCCCAUGAAGUUGCGUGGGAUUCAAAGAAGCACACAGGCUAUGUCAGCUUAAAGAAUCAGGGAGUGACUUGUUACAUGGACAGCCUGCUACAGACGUUAUUUUUCACAAAUCAGCUACGAAAGGCUGUGUACAUGAUGCCAACCGAGGGGGAUGAUUUGUCUAAAAGCGUCCCUUUAGCAUUACAAAGAGUAUUCUAUGAAUUACAGCACAGUGAUAAACCCAUAGAAACAAAAAAGCUAAUGAAGUCAUUUGGGUGGGAAAUUUUAGACAGCAUCAUGCAACAUGAUGUUCAGCAGCUUUGUGGAGUGUUGCUUGAUAAUGUGGAAAAUAACGUGAAAGGCACCUGUGUAGAGGACACCAUACCCAGAUGAUUCUGACACAAAAUGGUGUCCUAUAUCCAGUGUAAAGAAGUAGACCACCCGUCUGAUAGAAGAGAAGAUUAUUAUGAUACCCAGCUAAAUAUCAAAGGAAAGAAAAAUAUAUUUGAAUCAUUUGUGGAUUAUGUGGCAGUAGAACUGCUCAAUAGGGACAAUAAAUAGGACGCUGGGGAACAUGGCUUACAGGAAGCAGAGAAAGAUGUGAAAUUUCUAACAUCACCACCAGUGUUACGUCUACAAUUGAUGAGAUUUUUGUAUGACCCUCAGAUGGACCAAAAUAUCAAGAUCAAUGAUAGGUUUGAAUUCUCAGAGCAAUCACCAUUUAAUGAAUUUUUGUAAAAAAAAAAACAAAACACAGAUCCUAAGGACCCUGCAAAUUAUAUUCUUCAUGCAGUCCUGGUUCAUAGUGGAGAUAAUCAUGGUAAACAUUAUGUGCUUUAUCUAAACCCAAAGGGGACGGCAAAUGGUGUAAAUUUGAUGACGAUAUGGUGUCAAGGUGUACUAAAAAGGAAGCAAUUGAGCACAGUUAUGGGGGUCAUGAUGACAACCUGUCUGUCCGACACUGCACUAAUGCUUACAUGUUAGUCUGUAUCAGGGAACUAAAACUGAGUGAAGUUUUACAGGCAGUCACCGACCAUGACAUUCCUCAGCAGUUGGUGGAACAAUUACAAGAAGAGAAAAGGAUUGAGGCUCAGAAGUGGAAGGAAUGGCAGAAAGCCCAUCUCUAUAGGCAAGCACAGAUAGCUGCAGAGGACAAGUUUUGUGACGGCAAUAAAGCAAUGAUUGAGGUCAGUAAUAAUGAAAACUCUUGGACAAUAUUCCUAGAAACAGUCGAUCCUGAGCUUGCUGCUAGUGGAGCGACCUUACCCAAGUGUGAUAAAGAUUGUGAUGUAAUGUUGUUUUUGGAGAUGUAUGAUCCCAAAACGCGGAGCUUGAAUUACUGUGGGCAUAUCUACACACCAAUAAUCCUGUAAAAUACGUGCCUUGCUCCCAGUUAUGUGUAACAGAGCAGGAUUUACUCAAGAUACUAGCCUUAUCCUCUAUGAGAAAGUUAAACCAAAUUUAACGGAGAGAAUUCAGGACUAAGACGUGUCUCUUGAUAAAACCCCUGAUGAACGAAUGGAUGGUGACAUCAUAGUAUUUCAGAAGGAUGACCCUGAAAAAUGGUAACACUGAAUUACCCACCGAAAAGGAGUAUUUCCGAGACCUCUACCACCGCGCUGAUGUUAUUUUCUGUGAUAAAACAAUCCCUAAUGAUCCCGGAUUUGUGGUUACAUCAUCAAAUAAAAUGAAUUAUCUUCACAUUGCAAAGACCGUUGCACAGAGGCCCAACCCAGAUCCAAUGUUGCUCCAGUUUUUCAAGUCUCAAGGUUAUAGGGAUGAUCCAGAUAAUCCUCUUAGACAUAAUUAUGAAGGUACUUUAAGAGAUCUUCUACAAUUCUUCAAGCCUAGACAACCUAAGAAACUUUACUAUCAGCAUCUUAAGAUGAAAAUCACAGACUGUGAGAACAGGUGAAGUUUUAAAUGUACAUAGUUAAACAGCCAAUUUAGGGAAGAAGAAAUAACACUAUAACCAGACAAGCAUGGGUGUGUCUGGGACCUGUCAGAAGAAUGUAAAAAGUCCGUGGAGCUUGGGGAGAAAGCAGCAGGGAAACUUAGGCUUCUAGAAAUUGUAAGCUACAAAAUCAUUCGUGUCCAUCAAGAAGAUGAACUAUUAGAAUGUUUAUCUCUGGCAACGAGCCGGACAUUGUGAAUAGAGGAAAUCCCUUUGGACCAGAUGGACACAGACAAAGAGAAUGAGAUGCUUGUCACAGUGGCACAUUUCCACAAAGAGGUCUUCAGAACGUUCGGAAUCCCAUUUUUUCUGAGAAUACACCAAGGUGAGCAUUUCUGAGAAGUGACAAAGUGAAUCCAGAGCCUGCUGGACAUCCAGGAGAAGGAGUACGAGAAGUUCAAGUUUGCAGUUGUAAUGAUGGGACGACACCAGUACAUAAAUGAAGAUGAAUAUGAAGUAAAUUUGAAAGACUUUGAGCCACUGCCCAGUAACAUGUCUUAUCCUUGGCCUUGGCUAGGGCUUGACCACUUCAACAAAGCCCCAAAGAGGAGUCGCUACAAUGACCUUGAAAAGGCCAUUAAAAUCCCCCAAGCUGGUGUGUUCAAGGCGAGGACAGUGCGUGGGGGCCCCCUAACAGCCUAGAACUUUGGUGCAAGCACCCUCUAGUCAAAGUCUUCAGCAAGAGGAU